AUAGUACUGUGAAGGAAAGGUGAAAAGGACCCCGGGAGGGGAGUGAAAGAGAACCUGAAACCCUGUGUUUACAAGCUGUGGAAGUUCUUUAUACGAACAACCGCGUACUUUUUGUAGAACGGUCCGGCGAGUUGCGGAUACUGGCAAGGUUAAGCACUUAAGGUGCGGAGCCGAAGGGAUACCAAGUCUUAACAGGGCGUUAAGUCAGUGUACGUAGACCCGAAACCGGGUGAUCUACCCAUGUCCAGGCUGAAGUUGCCGUAAAAGGCAAUGGAGGGCCGAACGCACAUCCGUUGAAAAGGGUGGCGAUGAGGUGUGGGUAGGGGAGAAAUUCCAAUCGAACCCGGAGAUAGCUGGUUCUCCUCGAAAUAGCUUUAGGGCUAGCCUCGUGUUAACCUUGUGGAGGUAGAGCACUGAAUAUCCUAGGGGGCGUCAAAGUCUACCGAAGAUUAUCAAACUCCGAAUGCCAUAAAGGUGAUGCACGGGAGUCAGACUGCACGAGAUAAGUUGGGUGGUCAAAAGGGAAAGAGCCCAGACCUACAGCUAAGGUCCCAAAGUGCGUGUUAAGUGGAAAAGGAUGUGGGAUUUCGAAGACAACUAGGAUGUUGGCUCAGAAGCAGCCAUACAUUCAAAGAGUGCGUAAUAGCUCACUAGUCGAGAGGUCCUGCGCCGAAAAUGUCCGGGGCUAAAACACGACACCGAAGCUUAGGACUCCUUAAAGGAGUGGUAGAGGAGCAUUGUUAGCGCAGCGAAGCUGUACCGAUAAGGAGCAGUGGAGUGCUAAGAAGAGAGAAUGCCGGAAUGAGUAGCGAGAGGAAGGUGAGAAUCCUUCCGGCCGAAUAUCCAAGGUUUCCAGAGUAAAGCUGAUCUGCUCUGGGUAAGUCGGGGCCUAAGGCGAGGUCGAAAGACGUAGUCGAUGGAUAACAGGUGGAGAUUCCUGUACUAUGUGUACCCAGAACUGUGGGGACGCAUGUGGAGAGCAUGAGCCGGGAAAGAGAAAACCGGUACAAGCGGGGUAGGAGUAAGGACAGCAAAUCUUCCUUACAAUCCGAAGACGUAAUGUGGACCGAACCAAAGUAGGGAAGCAUGUGAGCCAUGUGCCAAGAAAAGCCGCUAUUGUGAUACACAUACCCGUACCGUAAACCGACACAGGUGGAUGAGGAGAGAAUCCUAAGGCCGACGGAAGAAGCAUUGUUAAGGAACUCGGCAAAAUGACCCCGUAACUUCGGGAGAAGGGGUGCCCUGUGAAAGCAGGGCCGCAGAGAAUAGGCUCAAGCAACUGUUUAGCAAAAACACAGGUCUAUGCGAAACCGAAAGGUGAAGUAUAUGGGCUGACGCCUGCCCGGUGCUGGAAGGUUAAGAGGAGAGGUUAGCGCAAGCGAAGCUUUGAAUUUAAGCCCCAGUAAACGGCGGCCGUAACUAUAACGGUCCUAAGGUAGCGAAAUUCCUUGUCGGGUAAGUUCCGACCCGCACGAAAGGCGUAAUGAUUUGGGCACUGUCUCAACAAUGCACCCGGUGAAAUUGAAAUACCAGUGAAGAUGCUGGUUACCUGCGCCAGGACGGAAAGACCCCAUGGAGCUUUACUCCAGCUUGAUACUGGGAUUCGAUACUGUAUGUACAGGAUAGGUGGGAGACGUUGAUCAUAGAACGCCAGUUUUAUGUGAGUCGCUGUUGGGAUACCACCCUUGCAGUAUUGGAUUUCUAACCUGCACCCAUGACCUGGGUGGGGGACAAUGUCUGGCGGGGAGUUUGACUGGGGCGGAGAUACACCAGUGGUCCGUCCAUCCCGGUCCUCUCGUAC
rnacentral:rRNA from 1 species